UCAGACGAUGCGUCAUGCAUAUCAAUAAGCGGAGGAAAAGAAACUAACAAGGAUUCCCCUAGUAACGGCGAGUGAAGCGGGAAGAGCUCAAAUUUGAAAUCUUAAAGGGUUUCCCUUUAGGAAUUGUAGUUUAAAGAAGUGUUUUCUGUUGAGGUUUUGGUAAAAGUUCUUUGGAAUAGGACAUCAUAGAGGGUGAGAAUCCCGUAUUUGACCUUUACUUUCAACUUUGUGAUACACUUUCAAAGAGUCGGAUUGUUUGGGAAUGCAGUCCAAAAUGGGUGGUAAAUUUCAUCUAAAGCUAAAUAUUGGCGAGAGACCGAUAGCGAACAAGUACCGUGAGGGAAAGAUGAAAAGAACUUUGAAAAGAGAGUUAAACAGUACGUGAAAUUGUCAAAAGGGAAGCGUUUGACACCAGUGUUGUUUUUCUGAAAAUCAAUUAAAGAACUGUUUAUGCUAAGUUGUUUAGACUUUAUCAGCUAACUGUUUAGUUUUGAGCUUUUCUUUAAUGCACUUUUCAGUUAACAAGUCAACAUCAAUUUCUUUUGCCUGUAAAAAAGCUUGAGGAAGGUGGCUUGAGAUUCGUCUUAAGUGUUUAUAGCCUCUUGCCUAUGCAGUCGGAGAGAUUGAGGUCUGCAGCGUAGAUCCUUCGGGGCUAAAUGCAUUUGUGCUAAGUUAUAGCAUUUUAUAGACAACUUGUUGACUAUGAUUUGUCUUGUAGCUUACUCGCUUAUGUUAUUUUACCUACGCUUAGGAUGUUGAGCGCAUGUCUCUCUCU
rnacentral:rRNA from 1 species